rnacentral:lncRNA from 1 species
AUAACUAUUUUAUUUUUAGCGACCUAACAAUUUUAGAGGUUUUAAUUAGUUGAAUUGAGAGAUAAGAAAAGACUUUACUAGUUAAUCUUAAUCCUCUCACUGACUUCAUCAAGUCAGAUUAAAGAAGAUUAGAUAAAAAUUGGUCUAGCCAACCAGUCAUAAAUCCUUCCACUGACUUCACUAAGUCAUGAAGAAGACUCAAGACA